UCUUUCUCUCUCUUCUUUUUGUAUUCUUUCUUUCUUUCAAUUCGUCCUUCUUCCUUUCAGAAAGACAGCAAGAGAAGACAAGAGAC
rnacentral:ribozyme from 14 species